CUCACCUUGAGUUGGUGUGAUCUGAAAUCUGCCCCUCUCUGUCACUGUCAUCGCAGUAUGUCUGUAUAUGUGGUAAGUUAAGGGGACAGUGACUGUUCAAGUU
rnacentral:misc_RNA from 1 species